rnacentral:rRNA from 1 species
UACGUAGGGUGCAAGCGUUGUCCGGAAUCAUUGGGCGUAAAGCGCGCGUAGGUGGCUUCGUAAGUCCGUUGUGAAAGUCAAAGGCUCAACCUUUGAAUGCCGAUGGAUACUGCGAAGCUAGAGUACGGAAGAGGCGAGUGGAAUUCCUGGUGUAGCGGUGGAAUGCGCAGAUAUCAGGAGGAACACCAAUAGCGAAGGCAGCUCGCUGGGACGGUACUGACGCUGAGGCGCGAAAGCGUGGGGAGCAAACAGG